rnacentral:rRNA from 1 species
CAGAGGUCCCAAGCGUUGUUCGGAUUCACUGGGCGUAAAGGGUGCGUAGGUGGUGAGGUAAGUCGGAUGUGAAAUCUCCGAGCUCAACUCGGAAAUGGCAUUGGAAACUACCUUGCUCGAGGGUUGGAGGGGGGACUGGAAUACUUGGUGUAGCAGUGAAAUGCGUAGAUAUCAAGUGGAACACCAGUGGCGAAGGCGAGUCCCUGGACAACUCCUGACACUGAGGCACGAAAGCUAGGGGAGCAAACAGGAUUAGAUACCCUGGUAGUCCUAGCCGUAAACGGUGCACGUUUGCUGUAAAAGGAAUCGACCCCUUUUGUGGCGUAGCCAACGCGUUAAACGUGCCGCCUGGGAAGUACGGUCGCAAGAUUA